UCUCAGAUUUCUUCUAUGUUUUAGUUAAUUUAGGAUUAGUUAUAUGUUGAUUCUAGUGUUAAUUUGAUUUGGUUAAGAUUAUUUUCCAUUGUUAGUUGAGUUUAGGUUAGAAUUAGGAUUUUCUGAUUAGAAUUAGUGUUAAUUUAUACAUAGUUAAACAUGCUGUUAAAAGCUUCUUAAGUUUGAAUUUCAAUUUGUUUGGAUCGAUUGACUGAUACUUUUCUGAGUCACUGUGAAAUGCUGCUGAUUUUUCAUGUCAUUGGUGCUGAAUUUUGAAUUGGUGUUGCAAAGAAUACUUUUUAAUGCUAUUUUGUGUUGUUUAUGCUAUUGCAUGCCAAAUGUUUGACAAUAUGCCAAGUGUUUGCAGUUUACAGAAGUGAAACCAAAAUUCGAAUUAUCUUCAUUUAAAAGUAAGUCUCAGAAUCUAAAUCAUCUCAGAAGGUAUAUUUUCCCCCUUUUGGUUCAUUAUGAUCUACUUCUUAUGUGAUUAUCAUAAAUGAUAUUAAGUAUAAAAUUUCUUAAUUGUGUAGUAUGUUCUGCUUUAACUGGCCUUAUGCUCCAAUGGCAUGAUCUUCUACCAUACUUAAUCCUGCAAAAGCAUUUUAUUUUUACUUAUUUUUUUCUAAUUGAUGGAUACCCACAUCCUCUAGGAAGAACUGUCUAGAUAGUAAGUUUUCAGUGCCAACUAUGCCUCUUUUCAUUAUUAAAGUCAGCUAUAUGAAUGUGUUUUGAAAGUGAUUAGAAUUAGAAAGUAAAUUAGAUGUGUUCAUUUUCUAAAGCCACCCUCUGGAGCAUAUAUUUUUUUUAUUUCAAGUGAUUCAUAUUUUAAUGUUUUAAAAAGACAAUGUAUGUCUCUGCAUAUAAUACGCUGAUGAUUUCUAUCUGGAAUCAAACUUCAUAAGUCAAAAUAUUAAUUUGUUCUUUAAGUAUAAAUGCUUCAAGCACAGAAAUUGCAUGAAAUUAGAGAAAUGUAAAUGGAAAAAAGCAACAAAAAGAGUACCAAAAGAAGUCAAAGAAGUAAAAAAUGCUUAGCAACGGAUAGGUAUUGCAAUAAAGAAGUGAAAUUCAUAAAUCAUUAAUUCUUUUACAAUAUUUUCCCUGGCAGAGUUUUAAGGUCCAUUCCAAUAAUGCUAAAUCAAAAACUGUUGUUUAUUAAUAUUUUAAAGUACUAAAUUUGAUUUGUUCCUUCUGUUUUUCUUACUUCAUAUGAACAUCUAAAUCUAUGUUUUUUUCCAUUGGCAAGUAGAAAGCCCACCAACUGUAACUCUUCACUGUAAGACCUUGGCAAAAGGUAACUAUUUUUGUUUGGCUUAUACUUUAAUGAAUGAAAUUGUUGCAAUGUCAUUCACUAAAACCAAGACCAGUGCAGGUGGUAUUUAUAAGUAUGCUGUUUUAGUUUCACUUUCAUAUUAUUCCUUAGGUGUAUUUCUUAUUUUAAAGUACUAGAAGGUUGGUUUUAUUGUCAUAAUCAUCGGUGAUAAUAAGGGAUUAUUUCAUGAUAGGUGUCCUUGGUCUUUUAUUACUGAAGCAUAGUUUAAGUUAGUACCUUUUGUUUUCUAUAUCUUGUUAGUAUAAUAUUCAAAUUUCGAGAAAUUUUCUGAUGGUGAGGUGUGCUCCCUCAAUUUAGAAAUUGGUGCACAAAAUAGGUUCUUUUCUCCUUCUCUCUAUGAGGCUGAAACCAAAAAAAUUGAAAUAGAAAUAAGUUCUGAAAUAACCUUUUUUCUUCUUCUUGCAAGCCAUUGUGAGAUCUCAAUUGUAACAGACUCAAUGUACUUUAUUACGUGAUUAUUUUAAAGCAUGGGUGCUAUUGAAACUUGAAAGAACUAGGUCAAUUAAAGCCAAAAUUCAAUGAUGAUAUGUUUAAUUCGAUAGGACGAAACUUUGGCGAUGAAGUGUAAUUCUUUCAUGAUGAGAGAUUGGCAUCAACCAGAAAUUUUCUGCACCAGGUUGUCAGCCUCCAGCUGAAGAGAUCGGUUUGAUUUUUCCAACAUACCACAAUGCUCUUCAGCAGUCCUUAGUUUUUCAGCCCCUAUUUCAAUCUCUCUGUUCAAUCGAUCAGAAGUUUCAUGGGAAUGCAGAAUUUCACUCCCCAUUGUAGAUAUCUUCUCCAAGCACUGCUUGUAUAGAAAAGCUACAGCUUCUUUCUCUUCAUUCAGUUCAGCAAGACUUUUCCUCAGACUCUCAGAGAUUUAGCUUCCAUUUCUGCUCUUUCAAUUUGCUCAUUCAGCAUCCUGCUAUUCUCCUCAGUAAGUGCUAGCUUAGCCUCCAAGACAGAAAUCUUUUCAAGGCAUUUAUUAUAUUGAUAAAAACAAGCAUCCUUCUCAACCUCCAAUAUGCCAAGUUCCUGCUUUAGAUUUUCUGCUUCGGUUUCUGCUUUAGCAGCUCUCUCAUCAUGCCCCUUUGCAUUUUUAUAUUUUCCAUUUCUUUCACGUGUUUUGAUUAUGUACUUCUGCAUGUGUUUUCAUUUUAAGUUUUAUAUUUUCCAUUUCAUUUUAUAUUUUCCAUUUCUUCCGUUCGGGCCAGCUGUUACAUCGUCCUCUCUGCUGCGGUAAUCACCAGUGUUUCUAUCAAUUUGUGAUGGUAUAAUAUGUCUUUGAUUGGUGUUCUUACUGCAUAUGAAGGUUGUGCAUGUUUCGAUAAUUGUAAGAUGCUCCUCUGUCUUUGGAUCAAAUUUGGUAAUAUUUAAAGAGAUGAGAAAUUUGAUCCAAGUCCUAUCAUGAUAACGAAUUUUUUAGUUUUCCUAAUUACUCAUGUCUCAUUUUUUUAUGAAAUCCCACUCCAUUAUUUGAAGCUACGUCAGUGAUUAUAGCCCAAUAUGUGGUAUUUACUUAGAUUGUUAGAGAUUUGAGUGUAUUGCUAGUUUAUAUUUGAAAAGAAUUUUCUCCUAUGAUCAAUGAAGUGUGAAACUAUAAGUAGUUCGUCUUGUGAUUUGAAUCUCUGAGACUUAAUCAAUAAUCAUCAAACUAGUCAAUAAAAACCAGUAAAUAUGGUUAAUACACCAAUUAGCGUGGUAUAAAAUUGGGCUAAUUAAUUUUUCUUUAAUGUGCGGCUCCCAGGGCUGUGGUAAAAUACAGGAGCAGGAUUUAAGUGAUUUUUGAGGUGGACAACAAGCCAAUUUCUUCUAAAGGUGCUAUUUUUCCUUUAAGAUGGCUAGGAAAGGUCGUUACACAAAAAAACAAAAAUUAGUACCAGGAUGUCAGCAACCUCAAACAGCUCUGCCUUCGACUUUGGCUUCCCACCGCGAUGACUCUCAAAUUCUCCCGGACAGUGGUGAUAGUGUCUCUCCAACUUCACGCCCUUUCCUUUCGCCGUGCAGUGUACCAAGGCCUGCUCCCCAAACGAGCACAAAUAACAUCCAGGAAUCGGAGCCAGGCCACGUAAACUUGGCAACUGAUGCACAUGAUGUAGAUUCUCCUGAUCAAGAAGCUGAUGACCCCUUUGUGAAUCCUAGAUCUUAGAGUCGCAAAAGUCGCAAGACUACAGAGUUUUGGGAAGUUAAGAUCAUUAAUUCUGACGGCAUAAUCAAGCCGGCAAGAAUAAGCAUGAGGGAGGCUAUGGAACAGCCUAACGGGAGAAAGGUCGUGCUCAGGUUCAACAGCGCAAAGCAAGCAAUCGGAGACGAAGCUGGACUGUUGAGUGGCGUGCUUGGUCUGUUAGGAUCUGACUAUGAAAAAUUUUCUAU